ACUUGGCCUCGGUGAACUUCAUGAGGUUUGUGUGGGCCCACCUCUCAAGCCUGUCAAGGCUUGAAAGACAUAAGAAGAAAUGUACUAAGCCAGUAUAAAUGGCACUUGAUGGUCAUGAAAAAAAGUUCCAGUGCUGAUCUAUCACAUCACUGUCAACCUGGAGACAGGUUCAUGCAGCCAUACUUCAGUGCAUCAUGGUUGGAAUCUGCCCCUUGGUCAUUACUUUGACCACAGGACAGAGGUACCUCUGCAGCUGGACGGGAAGCCCCACUGCUCCCAUGCCUCAUUUGUUUACAGACAGAUUCUAGUGUUAUGGAAAAAGGGAAAAUCACCUCUUUUCUUCUCUGGAUCCAGAAGAGGACCCUUUAUUAAGGCCCUACAAAGGCAAUGAGCUAUUUUCUGUUAACUUCUUUGAAAUACAGGAUCAAACCUUGAUGUAGGUUCAGAUUCCUUUGAACACCUUUGCUGCCAUUACUUAUCUAUCACAGCACUCCACCUCUGCACUUCAGUAGAUUAUGGGCUUAAUUUUGUAAAAUCCAGAGAUAUUUUGUAAUUUUGUCAACAGGCAAUCAGCUUUGGCUGGAAAUACUAUUCUUAAAUGUGUGCACUUAAUGGUAAAUGGCUUUUUAUGUGUGUUUCCUCCAGAAAUGAUGAUUGUCAAUGUUUAAUCAGCGAUGGAGCAGAGUCUGGCAGCUUCACACCAUUUUGAUGAAUAGGAGACGUGUUUCUGAUGAACAGGUUAUGCCUCAGCUAGUUCUUUGAAGUACUUUCCUCUGUGGAUCAUUGUUAAACCUUCAGGUAGGGUCAGGGCAAGCUUGCGCCCAGACUUCUGCAUGUACUGCUGCAGUUUGGGAAGGAGAUGGCAACCAACAGGGGGGAGCAACAGGUUAGAGACUACUCAGAAAGGCUGCUUUUCUUAAAAUCUGUGGGGGUGGUUGGGAUUCACCUGAGGGUGCUGGUGCAGUGACUAUGAGGCUGCUGUCUGUCAUUUAUCAAAACUCACGACAGUCAGGGAAGCAAGACUGGGUACCGCCACCCUGCAUUCAUGAUGGAUGGCUUUCUUAGCAAGGUUUUACACUAGUCUGCUUGUGUGGUUCCUCAGCUGAGCUGAUUUAAUACCAUGAUUAAUUUUUCGUUGCUCUUUUCUUCCCCCAAGCCUACAUAUUGCUCUUUGGAUUUGUCAGUGACUCAUUUCUAAUAGCCUAACGCUGUUGGAGCUAUAUUCUAGUGACAAGAUAUGUGAGCUUUGGUUGAUUUCUCCUAACACUGGGUAGGUCUAGGAAAUGUUAUCUUUUGAAGGGAGAGACUGGAUUUUCACCCUUACUGGCUCCUUACGAUGGUCCUCCUUAGAUCCUUCCGUGGAAUUAACAGAUCACUGUAGCAAUUGAAUAGCCCAAAAUGGGAUGCUGAGAAGAGAUUUUACUCCUGCACUUUUUAACAUGCAAGUUAAACAUCAGAUGUGGGCUGUUUCUGAUGUAAUCUGGGCCUUAUGGAAGCAAGAAGCAGUUAACUGAGUUGGAUUAAUUGGUUGAAUUAAUAGACCCUAUCCACAUUUAAAAACUUCUUACAGCGUCUAUCACACUUACUUACCUGGAAAGCCUUUUCCAAGCCACUUGAACAACAUCACAAAACCUUUUUGCAAAUUCUUGCAACAAUUUGAGGAAUAUGUUCAUGCUUCUAGGUUGUGUGAAAAUCAUGUCUGACAAAACCCUGAUUUUGGGAAUUGCAUCUUUUCCUGUGAGACUGAGCCAAAAGGACCUGGCCUGAUAUGUCUAUUUCUGGUGUACACGGAGUAGAGGCUGUAUGUCACAUGCUGUGGUCUGACUGUUGUCUUUGCUUAACGCUCUUUGCAAAUAAAUGCCCCAAAUCAGACAAAAGAAUGGGCUGAUCUGAA